GGCUUCGUGGUCGAGUGGUAAGGACGAUUGCCUCUCACCCUGGAGUCUCGGGUUUGAUUCCCGGUUGAGGAGUUA